rnacentral:rRNA from 1 species
CAGCAGCCGCGGGAAUACGUAGGUGGCAAGCGUUGUCCGGAAUUAAUGGGCGUAAAGCGCGCGCAGGCGGAUAGGUCAGUCUGUCUUAAAAGUUCGGGGCUUAACCCCGUGAUGGGAUGGAAACUGCCAAUCUAGAGUAUCGGAGAGGAAGGUGGAAUUCCAAGUGUAGUGGUGAAAUACGUAGAUAUUUGGAGGAACAUCGGUGGCGAAGGCGACCUUCUGGACUGUUACUGACGCUGAGAUCCGAAAGCGUGGGGAUCAAACAGGAUUAGAUACCCCAGUAGUCCCUGUCUCUUAUACC